UACGUAGGGUGCGAGCGUUGUCCGGAAUUAUUGGGCGUAAAGGGCUCGUAGGCGGUUUGUCGCGUCGGGAGUGAAAACCAGGUGCUUAACCCCUGGCUUGCUUUCGAUACGGGCAGACUAGAGGUAUGCAGGGGAGAACGGAAUUCCUAGUGUAGCGGUGAAAUGCGCAGAUAUCAGGAGGAACACCGGUGGCGAAGGCGGUUCUCUGGGCAGGACCUGACGCUGAGGAGCGAAAGUGUGGGGAGCGAACAGG
rnacentral:rRNA from 1 species